GUGCCAGCAGCCGCGGUAAUACGUAGGGAGCAAGCGUUGUCCGGAAUCAUUGGGCGUAAAGAGCGCGUAGGCGGCCGUGUAAGUCCGCUCUGAAAGUCAAAGGCUCAACCUUUGAAAGCGGGUGGAUACUGCACGGCUAGAGUCCGGAAGAGGCGAGUGGAAUUCCUGGUGUAGCGGUGGAAUGCGCAGAUAUCAGGAGGAACACCAACGGCGAAGGCAGCUCGCUGGGACGGUACUGACGCUGAGGCGCGAAAGCGUGGGGAGCAAACAGGAUUAGAUACCCCCGUAGUCC
rnacentral:rRNA from 1 species